AACCUCUUUUUUUCAAAAUUCCAAAUUUUCUUUGACGAGUGAAACUUUUGGCGAUGAUUGUUGUUCGGUUGUCGAUGAUGAUUCAAGAAACACUCUGAACUAGGGCGGCUCAUUUGAAAAGGGACAACUUGUCUCAAGAAAAAAACAGCUGUUUUAUGGGAUGGGCCGCUGCGUCUUUACCCAACAGCCAGUUGUCAUUGCGAUCAGGGGGUAAAAUAGGAGGAAGUACAAAACAGCUGCUGCCAUCCUCAUUUUUUUUUUCUCUUUCUCUUUCUUACACAAGUGAAGAUUGCGAUUUCUGGCGACACACGAAAUAUUGAGUUAGCAGAUGUUCCAAUAUCUUUUGAGGUCAUUGAUUUUCUGUAGGGUUCACUCUUGGUAAUCAAACCAAAUGGAACAUAUUUGAUUCUUCCCUUUUUUUUUUUUUUUUUAAACUUUCUUAUGAUUUUUACAUUCAUUUUCGAUAGCGAACCGAAACUAUAAAUAGAACGAUCAGAACCGAAAACUAAAAGUUUGUUGCCAUUUUGAUUGCAAAGCUCGUCGACGCUGUUACGUGUACAGAGUGUCAUGGCUGGUUUUGCUUUAUUGCGUUGUGGCCGUUUGCUUCCGCCUUUGUCAGAACCCUCCGCUCCGCCGAAAACCGGGAUUGCACACCAAAGCUUUUUGGGGAUUGGCAGACGAUGGAUGACGGUCAAAACGUUUCAAAAAAUAUCAAAUGAAAAUGAAGAAGAUGAAAUGGAGACUAGCAGCGCAAAAGUUUGUUUUAUUUGCCUCUGUUCGUCUUGAUUUUUUCUUAACAUCCCGUAGCGCAGGAAAGGAUUUUAUUUUUUAAAUUUUAUUUAAAGGAGGAGGAAGAUUAAUGACAUUGGCCACUGCGAUUGGAUGGAUCCGCAAUCCCCCCCCCUCCAAAAAAAUAGCGUUUCCGAUUUUCGUUCUUCUUUUUGAUUUACAUCGUACACGAAGAAAUGUUUAAUAAAAAAAAACAAAAGAGUAACGCCCCGUAUUUUGUUUUUGUGAGGGGCACUCCGGUACGAACAGCUCGUGAUAAAUAGGCAUAUUGUUUAAAGUUUAAUUUCUAUUUGAUUUGGGGGUGAUGCCGCCGCAUCGAUUUCGAAUCUUGUUACUCUGUCCAACCUACAGCUGUUUAUCCGAGUUGCAACACAUUCUGCCGAUCUUUCAAUGCAAAAAAAAAAAAUAGGGAGGGGGGGUAAAUGUUUCUAUUGGUUCACACAUUUCUGAUGUGCCGACGACAGUCUCAAUAUCCACAGGAAGUGCAUACGGGGAAAUAAAAAAAAAAGGGGGGAAAUGUAAUCCGGACGAAGCGGGUGGUCGGUGUGUCUACACAACAUUUGGAGUGAAGGAAGAAGGAGAGAAACAUGUGAGAAUGUUUGAUGUAACGAGUGUUGCGUUUCGCACGCUCCGUGAAAAGAAACGGAUGGCAGACGAAAGUAUAGGAAGAGAGACAGAUCUUAUGUACAAUACCGUACACUGUCAAACUGCGUGUACGUUACUGUGAACAAUCCACCGAGCUGGGCAACACACACACAAAAAAGAAAAGAAAGAAAAAAAGAGCUUUUGCAACAGCUCCGGUUCUCUUUUGCCCGUCUCUCUCCUUCGUGUAAAUAUCUCCCCCUCUCUUUUUAUUUUUUAUUUUUUUUUUCUGUUUUGCUCUUUCUUGUUUUUUGUUUGUGUUGUCUGGCUCGUGUCACGAAACGAGUGUCUUGUUUCAGCGCCCCCAAUCUAAUAGUGUACCGUGGCUCCCGUUCUCUUCCCUCUCUCUUUCUCUCUCUCUCCAAAAGAUUGUCAUGGAGCGAGAAGAUGCAGCACUCGCCUCCAAAUAACAGUCCCAUGUUUCUUGCCGUUUAUUUGGACUGACUCUUUUAUUUUGCUUUCUCUUGUUUGGUGUAGACGACAGUUGGCCCCCCCUCCGCUUGUCUAAUUUCAUCAGAUAAAAAGGAUCUUUUUGGGGGGGCAGUUGAAUGAUAAUCGAUCGUCCCUUCUUCUUUGGUUUCAAAUUCAAUUUCAUCAGAAAUAAAAGGCAAUCGAAAGUUGCGUUUGAAAACCUUUCGUGUCUUGUCUCGCGAUUGAUAACGUCGUGUUUGCGGUAACAAAGAAAAACACGGUGGAAAUCAAGUCAAGUGAUUGUUUUUUUUCUUCUUCGUGUGUGUCGAUUGACGAGACAUUGAAACGUACAGGAAAAAAAAAUUGUUUUCUUGCGACUGGUGAACUCCUCUCGUCUAUUUCAAUGGGACGAAAUGAAAUUGAUUUUUCUUCCUCUUAUUUUGGCCCUUGGCUUGUUCUUCUGCUGCUGCGCUUACACACACACACACACGCUCCGUCGAGCACAGAGUGACAUCAUUGUAAAGGCAUCUGGAGAUGAGAUCACGGUGAUGGAGAGAGAGAGACCCCGACAAAAAAAAAGAAAGACCUUCACUUACAGGCAAAGAGGAGCCCCUCCGGUUAGCGUGAAAAAAAAGAAGAAGUCCCCGCCUUGUUGUGUGUGUAGGUCCUUCUUUUUGGGUGUCGUUUGGUGGUUUGAGGAUUCCUCCCUUUUUUUCUUUUUUUUUUUUUUAUCAGACCGGUUGCACACAUACACCCACUCACGCAGAGAAGAGGGACACACCCAUUCAUCGUAGCCAGAGUGCCAAGUAGAAACGAUUUCAUAGAGCCUGUCUGCGUGUUUGGAUAUUUAUAUUUUUAAAAAAUAAAUAAAUAAAUAAUAAUAAAAUGAAAUUAACGAAAACCCUUUAUGGAGAGCGAUGGAAAUCAAUCAAAGGACGAAGGGGUUAAAGUUUGAAAAGAUCAGAGAUCAAAACUGGCCGAUACACAACAGUAGAGAAAUAAAUUAUUUUGAAAAAAUAAUAAUAAAAAAAAAAAGAUGGUGGCGAUAACGUUCGCGUGGAACUCUAAUCAUCUUUUAGUUUUUUCUUAUUUCGGUUUCAGCCGAAGAAGUGAAGAGGAAGGAACAAAAAAAAAAAAAACCCAUUAGCUGUUAUUUAUUUAUCUUUUGAUGAGGGUAGUAGACGCGAAGUUUGGGGGUUGGGUUUCCUUUUGGGUGUGGAACAGAAAGACGGGCACCGUCCGUUCGACUUGCAAUCUGUCGUCGUUUGGUCCCCCCCCCACUUGUUUCUUGUUGUUGUUCUUUUGGUCGCUGUCUGUGGUCUAAUUGAAAAAUAGUUUCAAAUAGUUUGUCGUGUCUCUCGCGUCCAACUUCAAAAAUUGGACUUUUUUUUUGUUCUUUUCAAAAAUCUGAAACGAGAAAGGUCGAACCGACUGUCGUUUGAUGGACGUCUUUUGUUGCCGAAAGGGCCAUACCAACAAACUCAAUUUAAGGGAAAAAAGGUAUAACAUGCCCCCCCCCCCCCAAAAUUGUUUGCAGUCGUCGACAUCCGGAUGGGAUGCGCUAAUCUUCUCUUUUAGCUGACUCCACCCAAGGAUUGGAGUGGUGCCUCUCCUCGGGACAUUCCUCCUUUCCUUGUUUUCACGUUGGACGCUGAUCCGCCUAUUCUACGGCGCGCGUCCCUCUCGAUUGUUUUGCAUUCGCGUUGUGCAUUUAGCUCUGCUUGACACGCACUUGACAAACGUAGCAAAGGAACCAGGGAUCGAUUGCGCUCAUCUUUGAGAAUAUUUCAAAGUGCGGAAUUAAGAAGAAGAAUCAGGAAUAAAAUAAAGAGGGUGCCGUGGCCGGAUGCCCCUCUCCUCUUUGGAUGGAAGCCAACAGCUUUCAUCCGUGCUCGAUUUCGCCAUAACAUUGUGCAAAAAAAAGAAAAGAAAAAUGAAUAGAAAUCCUCUUAGUAUAUCAAGUGAAAACAACAAAAACAACAAGAAAAGUGUGGGGGAAAACAAUUGAUGGUUAGCAGACAAAAACAAAGUUCUGGAAGAGAGGGGGGAAUUCAUUUCUCAUUAUCCUGCUCGCCAGUUCCCGCACAUCAAGCAACAUCAUCAUCGAUAUAGCUUCAUUAUUGCUUAUCGGCGAAGAAGAAGAGGAGGUCAUUAAUUGUUUUUUUAUUUAUUGUUGACUGAGUGUGUCGAAGAUGCGCGAUAAAGGGGAAAAAAAUUAUAUGAAAAGGCUAUAUGCGUUUUUGAUUGUUUGUUUGUGCCCUUUUGAACGUUUCGCCUUGUGCAUAUUUAUUUAUGCAGUUCUCUUUUGUUUUUAUUUUAUUUUCUUUAUUUAAGAGAAUCAAUAUUCAUGUUCUAAUAUAAGAACCUGUGUGUGUGUGUCUAUUUAUAUAUACACCACACAGGUAACUUUAGCCGUGUCCACGACCUUAUCAAGACUAGAAACAAAAAAACAUGGAGGGUGUAGGAAAGGGCCGGCCAAGAGUCCAACGUGGGGUGUGAUAGAGCUUCCCCUAUUUUUCUCUUUCACAUGUGUCUACAUAGAAAAGGCUUCAUUUUUCCUUUUGUUUCGCGCGGCUUUAAAAAUGCGUGCGCCCCUCUUUUUUUUCUGAGGUACCCGCGGGAGUUUUCUAUUGGCUUCGCUUCCUAUGCGGAAUUAUUAAAAAAAAAAAAAAAAGGAACAGUCCAGCAGCUGGAACAGAUUGCCCCCUUUUUUUUUUCCUUUUAAAACUUUUAAUUUUCCAUUUCAUAUUUUUUGUGUGUUGCUCUUUUCACUGUCGGAGAAACCCCGUGGAACCGAACAACAAAAAACUAGAAGAAAACAAAACAAAUAUCUAAUAAGGCGACAUCGUUGACCCGCUUCCCGUCCCCCUCAGUGUAGGAACGGGAAAAUGCCAAAGAUCGACCCAUGUAAUGUCGUGUGCGUAUAAAAGUAUCGAUCGAGACGACGACGACGACCAAAAACUCAUUUGGAACGAUGGGGCGGGCGCAUUUGAAAAGGUGGAUGGCGAUGGGUGUUGCGGACUUAAUGAAGAAGGAUUGAUGGAUCAAUCAGCUGACAUUGCGAGACUCUUCUUUUGCUUCUUCUUCUUCUUCUUCUUCUUGUUUCCGCUUCGUACGUCGGCCAUCCCUGGAAUGUUUCGUCGUCGCGCUUAGUGAUGUCUUUCGUGCUCGCGUGUGCCGUGAUUUCUCCGGAAUUCCCUCCCACCUUUUUUUUAAUUAUUCCGAACGCAAAGUCAAUGAAUUCUUUAAAAAAAUAAAAUAAAAAAAUGAUUAAGUGACCAGUUAAAUCUUAAAAAAAAAAAAAUGGGACGCCAAAGAUGUGAUUUUUAAAUGUUUGUUACACAAAGAGGAAGAACUUGUUUUCUGCUUAAAUAAAAAAGCUGAUGAGCAAAAAAAAAAAAAAAAACGCAGCAGGUAUGUGUGGCACGUUUUCUGUCCUGUCCGUUCACACACACACACACACCCCCCCCCCCUUCCCUAUAGAAGCGUCUCUCGUUCGUGAACGGGCCAUUAGUUUGCGAGGAUUUUUCAUGCUUGUCUUGUUUCGGGAUUAUUUUCGCAUUUUCUUUUUUUCUUUCAAAGUCUUUUGUUAUCGUUUGUCUUCUGUUUUUUUUUUGUUGUUGUUUUCGUUUUUGUGCGUGGGGAGCCCCGUUGUUUCGGAUCGACGGACAUUACCCAGGGCAACCCAGUCUGAUAUUUAUUUAUUUUUUUUGUAUUUUUGUGAACCAUUCAAUGAAUUAUUCAUCGGCCGUUGCGUUUUUGUUUUUUUUCCAACAAAGAUCCGAAUAGAAAAAAAUAAAAUAAAAUAAAUUUUUCAGGUUUUUUCCUUUUGCGACGCAGCAAAAAAAUAAAUAAAAAUCGGGAGUUGAAUGUUUUUCAAGGGGUUAAGUCGAAAGACAAAUAUAAAACGCACAAACGAAAGAGAGAAACAAAAAAUGUUGGGGAGGUGGGGGUGAGUGGUAAACGGAUGUUGCGGUGUGCCACAAUGAAGAAAAGAAAACUCGUUUUAAUUUUUUUUUAAAUAUGGAAAUUAGAACACGAAGUU
rnacentral:lncRNA from 1 species